GUCCUUUUGGGGACAUCCGGUCAAAUUAAAACGAUAAGGAGAAGAUUAACAUUGUCCCUGCGCAAAGAUGACACUCAUAAAUCGAGAAAAGUUUCAUCGUUAU